UCGGGAAUAUUGGACAAUGGGCGCAAGCCUGAUCCAGCAAUACCGCGUGUGUGAAGAAGGCCUGCGGGUUGUAAAGCACUUUCAGUUGGGAAGAUAAUGACGUUACCAACAGAAGAAGCACCGGCUAACUCCGUGCCAGCAGCCGCGGUAAUACGGAGGGUGCAAGCGUUAAUCGGAAUUACUGGGCGUAAAGCGUGCGUAGGCGGUUUAUUAAGUCAGAUGUGAAAUCCCCGGGCUCAACCUGGGAACUGCAUCUGAUACUGGUAGACUAGAGUGUGGGAGAGGAGAGUGGAAUUUCCGGUGUAGCGGUGAAAUGCAUAGAGAUCGGAAGGAACAUCAGUGGCGAAGGCGACUCUCUGGACCAACACUGACGCUGAGGCACGAAAGCGUGGGUAGCAAACAGGAUUAGAUACCCUGGUAGUCCACGCCGUAAACGAUGUCAACUAGCCGUCAGGCCCGCUUUAGGGUUUGGUGGUGGAGCUAACGUAUUAAGUUGACCGCCUGGGGAGUACGCUCGCAAGAGUA
rnacentral:rRNA from 1 species